rnacentral:rRNA from 1 species
AUGAAAGAACCAAUGGGAGGCAGCUGUCUCCAGGAGUAUUAGCGCUAAAUUAGUAAGUAAGUGAAAAUACUUACGGAAAGAAAAUAGACGAGAAGACCCUAGAAGCUUGCUAUUUGUUUUGUUGGGGCGACAGAAUUGCAUUAGGAACCAAUUUUACAGAUGUGACGUAGAGCAGGAAAAUUAAGCUACUCUAGGGAUAACAGCAUAAUAAAAUUUGUUUGUGACCUCGAUGUUGGACUAGGUAGAAUAGUCCUUAGAAGGGACUAGUAAUGCUCUGUUCGAGCAGCUUAACCUACA